rnacentral:rRNA from 1 species
AUUGAACGCUGGCGGCAGGCCUAACACAUGCAAGUCGAACGAGUGGCGGACGGGUGAGUAAUGUCUGGGAAACUGCCUGAUGGAGGGGGAUAACUACUGGAAACGGUAGCUAAUACCGCCUACCAUCGGAUGUGCCCAGAUGGGCUUAGCUAGUAGGUGGGGUAACGGCUCACCUAGGCGACGAUCCCUAGCUGGUCUGAGAGGAUGACCCGCCACACUGGAACUGAGACACGGUCCAGACUCCUACGGGAGGCAGCAGGGGGGAAUAUUGCAAGAUGGGCGCAAGCCGGAGGCAGCCAUGCCGCGUUUGUGAAGAAGGCCUUCGGGGUGUAAAGUACUUUCAGCGAGGAGGCGUUACUCGCAGAAGAAGCACCGGCUAACUCCGUGCCAGCAGCCGCGGUAAUUC